rnacentral:rRNA from 1 species
CGCGUAGGCGGUAUGGCAAGUCAGAUGUGAAAGCCCCGGGCUUAACCCGGGAAUUGCAUCUGAAACUGCUUUACUUGAGUCCUGGAUGGGGUAGUGGAAUUCCCAGUGUAGCGGUGAAAUGCGUAGAUAUUGGGAGGAACACCUGCGGCGAAGGCGGCUACCUGGACAGUGACUGACGCUGAGGCGCGAAAGCUAGGGGAGCGAACGG